AACGAACGCUGGCGGCGUGCCUAACACAUGCAAGUCGGGGGAGAAAGGGAGCUUCGGCUCCCGAGUAAACCGGCGCACGGGUGAGUACAACGUAGGUAACGUACCUUCGAGUCCGGGAUAACCAGUCGAAAGACUGGCUAAUACCGGAUACGACCGAGAGGGCCUCGGCUCUCGCGGUGAAAGAUGGCCUCUGCUUGCAAGCUAUCACUCGUUGAGCGGCCUGCGCACCAUUAGCAGUUGGUGGGGUAACGGCCCACCAAGGCUGAGAUGGUUAGCUGGUCUGAGAGGAUGGCCAGCCACACUGGGACUGAGACACGGCCCAGACUCCUACGGGAGGCAGCAGUGGGGAAUAUUGCGCAAUGGGCGAAAGCCUGACGCAGCGACGCCGCGU
rnacentral:rRNA from 1 species